UGAUAUUAAUUUAAGGUUCGGCCUGCCCAAUGAGUAUAUUCAAUGGCUGCAGUAUUUUAACUGUACAAAGGUAGCAUAAUCAUUAGUUUUUUAAUUAAAAACUAGUAUGAAUGGUUUAAUGAGAAAAAAUCUGUCUUUAUUUAAUUUUUUAAAGAAAUUUAUUUUUAAGUUAAAAAGCUUAAAUUUAUUUAAAAGACGAGAAGACCCUAUAGAGUUUUAUAAUUAAUUAGUUAAUAAGGUUUUAAGUAUAGAUUUUUUAUUUAAUUAAUAAAUUAUUUAAUUGGGGUGAUUUAAAAAUUUAAUUAACUUUUUAAUAUUUAAAACAUUUAUUUAUGUAUAAUUGAUCCAUAUAUUGUGAUUAAAAGAUUAAAUUACCUUAGGGAUAACAGCGUAAUUUUUUUGGAGAGUUCUUAUCAAUAAAAAAGAUUGCGACCUCGAUGUUGGAUUAAAAUUUACUAUUGGCGCAGAAGUUAAUAAGUUGGGUCUGUUCGACCUUUAAAAUUUUACAUGAUCUGAGUUUAAACCGGUGUGAGCCAGGUUGGUUUCUAUCUUUAAAUAGUUAAUAUAUUUUAGUACGAAAGGACCGGGUAUUAUUAAAAUUUACUUAUUUAUGAAUUUUAUUAAUUUUGUUACUUUGGCAGAUUAGUGUAUUAAAUUUAGAAUUUAAUAAUGUAUUUAUUAUACAGGUAAUACUUGUUAUUUAUUGAUUAUAUUUUAAUAUUUAUUAGUGGAUUAAUUUUAAUUAUUUGUGUAUUAGUAGGAGU
rnacentral:rRNA from 1 species